rnacentral:sRNA from 1 species
UUAAAACCCAAAGUAGUGUUUCCUUGUUAGAAGAUACAAAGCAAAAGACGCAUGUGGACUUUGGUAAC